rnacentral:miRNA from 13 species
AUCCAACUGGGUUGCGCUAUCU